GAUAAACGCUGGCGGCGUGCUUAACACAUGCAAGUCGAACGGAGUGGUUCUCCCGAGGAUUGAUAGUGCUUGCACUUGAUUGACUCAUUUGAAUCACUUAGUGGCGGACGGGUGAGUAACGCGUGGGAAACCUGCCCUAUACUGGGGGAUAGCAGUUGGAAACGACUGAUAAUACCGCAUAAGCGCACAGCUUCGCAUGAAGCAGUGUGAAAAACUCCGGUGGUACAGGAUGGCUCCGCGUUGGAUUAGCUGGUUGGCGGGGCAACGGCCCACCAAGGCGACGAUCCAUAGCCGGCCUGAGAGGGUGGACGGCCACAUUGGGACUGAGACACGGCCCAGACUCC
rnacentral:rRNA from 1 species